rnacentral:lncRNA from 1 species
GUUUUUAUUUGCAUAGUCAUUGCAUUCAUCUCUCUUGUCUCUUGCUUUCUGUCUUACAAAAAAAGAAGAAGAUAACAAUGGCUGUUGUCGAAGUUUUUGUUGGUGCAAUUCUCACUGUUUUGCUUGAGAAGCUGGCCUCUGGUGAGCUGCUGAAAUUUCUGCGUCGUGUAGGAAUUGAUGCCCAGCUGGAAGAAUGGCGUACAACUUUGUCGAUGAUCCAGGCCGUGCUUACUGAUGCUGAAAACAAGCAAAUAGGAAACGUAGCUGUGAAACAGUGGCUGACCGAUCUGGAAGAUUUGGCUUACGAUCUUGAAGACUUAGUGGAUGAGUUGAAUACCGAAGCUCUGCAGCGCAAAUUAAAAGAAAAUAAAGGCAGCACCAGCAAGGUAAGAAAGUUCAUCCCAAACUGUUGUACUAAUCUUUCUUACAGUGAUUUCAUGUUUGAUCGCGGGAUUGCUUCCAAGUUAAAAGAGAUUAGUGGCCGAUUGGAAGCUCUAUCCAAAAAGAUAAAAAUUUUCAGAUUAGUGGAGAAUGUGAGAGGGAGGUCUUACGAAAGAUUGCCAACAACUUCGCUCGUGGUAGAAUCGGAAGUUUAUGGAAGAGAGAAGGACAAAGAGGAAAUACUCAAAAUUUUACUUGGUGUUAAAUCAGAUGAUAGUCAAAUAUCUGUGAUUCCAAUUGUGGGCAUGGGAGGUGUCGGCAAAACUACUCUUGUCCAACUUGUGUAUAAUGAUGAAAUAUUGAAGGAUAAGUUUGAUCUGAAGGCAUGGGCUUGCGUGUCAGAUGAAUUUGACGCUGUUGAAGUAACGAAAAACAUUCUGGAGGCAGUUUCUUCUGGUGGAAAGUGUGAUUCUGAAAAUUUUGACAUGCUUCAGGUCAAACUAAAGGAAAGCCUUUCAAACAAGAAAUUUAUGAUAGUUUUGGAUGAUAUUUGGAAUGAAGAUUAUGUAAAAUGGGACAUCCUACGCCGUCCUUUUCUUGCUGGAAAACCUGGAAGCAUAAUCAUCAUUACCACUCGACAAGAAAGGGUGGCCAAAAUCAUGUCCGGAAUGCCAGCAUACCAUCUGAAUUUGUUGUCAGAGGGCGAUGCUUUAUCAUUGUUAGCUCAACAUGUAUUUGGAGUUAAAACUUUUGACGCAUAUCCAGAAUUAAUAGAGAUUGGUAAAUCUAUUGUAAAAAGAUGUAAGAACUUGCCCCUGGCAGUCAAGGCCCUUGGGGGGCUUCUUCGAAGGACAGUAGGUCCGAAAGGAUGGGAAGAGGUGUUGAAAAGUGAGAUCUGGAUGGCUGAAGAAAAGGGUGAAAUUCUUCCGGCUCUAAAACUGAGUUAUCACUAUCUUCCUCCACAAUUGAAAAGAUGCUUUGCUUACUGUGCGCUCUUCCCCAAGGACUAUGAAUUUGAAAAGUUCCAUCUGGUUUACCUUUGGAUGGCUGAAGGUCUUUUGCAGGAAUCAAUGAAAGAUAUGUCUAUUGAAGAAGUAGGCAGUCAAUAUUUUGGUGAACUGCUGGAUGGAUCAUUCUUCCAACAAUCAAGUGCCAAUGCUUCAUGCUUUGUGAUGCACGACCUCUUUAACGAUCUAGCUAUGUCUGUUGCUGGCGAUAAAUGUUUGAGGAUGGAUGAUGCACUGCAGGAAAAUCUUCCUGGUAAGGCUUCUGUCCGUCACUUGUCAUUCAAGCGCAGUUACUAUGAAACUUACCCUAGAUUUAACUUUCUCGACAAAGUUCCAAAAUUGAGAACAUUUUUGCCACUACCGGUUGGGGAGUUUCAUUGCAACUUAUCCCAAAGAAUUUUGCUUCAACUAUUCGCAAAUUCAUGCCGCUUAAGAUUUCUGUCCUUGAAUGGUUAUGAGAUAUACGAGUUGCCAGAUUCUAUCGGUGAUUUAAGACAGUUACGGUACCUAGGCUUAGCUCGAACUCCACUGAAGUGGUUGCCUAAAUCUGUGUGCACUCUUAUCAACUUACAAGUGUUGAUUCUAAGUGGUUGUUGGAGACUUACCAAAUUACCCACAAGCAUGGAAAAUCUUAUUAAUCUUCGGCAUCUGGACAUUUCUGAUACUAGUGAAUUGCAUGAGAUGCCACGGGAAAUUUCUCAACUAACAAGUUUGCGAACGUUAACUAAGAUGACUGCAAGUAAAAAUAAUGGAAUGAGGUUAAAGGAGUUGGGAAAUCUAUCAUUUCUACAAGGUGAUAUUUCUAUUGAGGAAUUGCAAAAUGUUGUGUAUGUUCAAGAAGCAAAGGAUGCAAGGCUAAUGGAUAAGACGAGCCUCAACAAAAUAAGGUUGGCAUGGAGCAAAGACUUUGAUGAUUCUCGAAAUAAGAUUUUAGAAUUGGAUGUGCUUAAUGCAUUAAAGCCCCAUAAAAAUUUAUCAACACUUGAAAUCAUGUACUAUGGGGGUGAGAAUUUCUCUAAUUGGAUUGGAGAUUCAGCAUUUUCUAAGUUAGCAAAGAUAAGCUUCAAAUUUUGUAAAAAUUGCACGAGUUUGCCACCAUUAGGGCAACUACCUUCUCUAAGAGACUUGAGCAUUCGAGGCACUGAUCAAGUAAAAGUGAUUGGAAAAGAAUUUUAUGGAAAUAGAGGCCAUGGAGAAUUACCUUUUCCAUCACUCACUAGUCUGACUUUUGCGGACAUGCCUAACUGGGAGGAAUGGCGUGGAAUAAAAGAUGUUAUCGAACUUCCUCGGCUACACAAACUGAACAUAAGAAGUUGUUCAAAAUUGGUCAGGCUUCCAGAUCUCUUACUGCCAUCCCUUCGUGAAUUAGAAGCUAUAGACUGUAAUAAGGUGGUGCUACAUCAUAUGCAGAAAUUGGAAUCUUUAACUCGAAUACAAUUGACGAACAUUUGUGAAUUAACUUCGGUUAUCAAAGCAUUUGACCAAUUUCCAUCUACGCUUGAAAGAUUGAGAGUAUCAGGAUGUGUGGACCUUGCGACUCUAUUGCCAAGUGAUGAUACCGCACAAAACCUUGUCAGCCUAUGGGAAGUGUAUGUUGAAAGUUGUCCUCGACUAUUGUCCCUUCAAGAGAUUGAUUUUCUUCCUGGUCUUAGGAGUCUUAAAAUAACAAAUUGUGGCGCUUUGGAGUUGUUGUCUAAUAAAAUAUCUUUUCUUGAGAAGUUGGAUAUCAAACACUGUCCAUCAUUAAAGACGGUGAUGAAGCUACAGGAUUGCAGCACCUCGCUCAAUUAUCUGUCUAUUUAUAGUUGGGUGAAUUUGAAUUUGACAAAUUUACUGGGCUCGGGCCACGAUUACACAAGUCUCACUUCAAUAUCCUUAUGGUGUUGUGAUGGUCUAGAGUCAUUUCCCCAUGGAGGCUUGCCCACACCAAAUUUAAGUCGUUUAUCUAUAGGGGGAUGUCGACAUCUCAAAUCUCUACCCGAUCAAAUGAAUCUACUUUCGGCCCUUUUAGACCUGUGGGUAUACAACUGUGCUUCAUUAAUGGAACUCUUUCCCAAACAGAAUAUUCCCCCAAAUCUGUCUCACCUUAAUAUCUCAUAUUGCCAGAAACUACGGCCCCUGGGAGAAUGGGGCCUACACACACUCACCUCUCUUAGUUCCUUUACAUUUAGUGAAUGUCCAGAGCUGGUUUCCCUCACUAACAAUGCUGACGAAGAACACUGUGUGCUUCCUCCAUCUCUAACUGAGUUGUCGUUGUACUACAUGCCGAAUCUGGAAACCCUAUCAAACGGCUUACAAAGUCUCACCUCUCUUCAACAUAUAUAUAUCUACGACUGCCCAAAGCUUGUGGCGUUGCCUUUGGAAGGCCAGCUUCAAAAGCUUUUGAGCCUUAUCAUUAAAGGCUGCCCACGUCUUCAGAAACGGUGUUUGAAGAACAAAGGAGACUACUGGCCCAUCAUUGCUGACAUUCCCGAAGUCGAAAUUGAUUUACGUUCCAUCUACGAUCCAUGUCCAUGAAUUCAGUUACAUGAGGUAAUAGAUUUAAUUUGAUACCUAUGAAUCUCAACGUCAUUUCAUGCUGAACACAUUUCGACAUUUCUGUCAAUUUUGUUUUCAAAUCAGAAUGUGAAUUUUCUGCAGCAAACAAGUGUUCAUGCUACUCUGUAUCUUAUAUUUGUGCUUCUGCUCUGCAGUAUGAAUCAAUAUGAGAGCUGGAUUUACCAACAAUCGAGUAACUAAUUGGCUAUGGCACUAAAAUCAGCCUCUCUUCUCCCCUUGUAUGUGUUCUAUUAAGAGUAAAAUUCUAUCAAAUAGACAAAUUGGAGUGAUAGUUGUUUGUUCAAUUAAUUACCUUCAACUUGGAUAGAAUAUUUGAUUAAGUUAUUAAUAUUUUGCUUCAAUCUGCUUUAGCAAAUUGGAAAUGGAUUGAUACAACUUACUGUAUGUUUAUGCAUUUUUGAAUUUUCAUGUUUACUAUAUGCUUUAACAAACUGGAAAUGGGUGUGCGUUUUUCAAACCUUUUUUGUAGAGUGGACGUUCUUACACUAUUUGAAUGAAACAAAUAAAAAAUUCAUUGUUUUGGUGUAGGCAUUUUCUCAUUACUUGUAAGAACGCAAGAUGGAAUGAAGGUGCCUCUUCUAUGAGGCCUUCAAGUAAGUCUCUUUUUCGAUUUACUUUCUGCAUUUGCAUUUAAGUGUUUGUGUAAAUACCAUAGUGAAAUUAUAUGGUAGGAUCUGUGACUGAAGCUAUGUUCAGACAUAUAACUUUUCUUGCCUUUAUUAUUUCACGAUUUUAGUAAUAUUUUCUGAUUAUUUCCCGGGUUGCAUAGUAAAAUUGAAUUAUUUUAUCAAAAGAUGGAUUUUUAUCAUCUCUUAGCUUCUCUAUUUUUUAUUUUUUUUAAAUAUCUUUAUGGAAUUGUUGUAAUAGUAUUACCUCUUUAUGAUCAUUUGAUUGUUGGAAGAUCAUACAAGGAAUUUCGGGACAAAUGAUUUUUUGUGAAAAAAAAGUUUUGUCUGAGUAGGAAAAGUAUAUCCAUCCGUGUGCGUUUAGAUCUGUUAUUCAUAUUGAUAGAUUAUAUUCCAUAUGUGGAUGCACAUUGCAUAUAGAACAUAUACUCACCUUGGGUUGUUAGGUACCUGUUGUAGCUUUGCACAUCUGCUCUCCGUAAUGUUUAUUGUUGCAACGUUCAUAUGAUCAGAUGGUUAUUGAUGGUGUUAAAUGUUACUCUAAUUGAUUGCUGAAAUUGAUAGGGUUGGGAUGUGACACUGAAUUUCUCCAA